GGGAGUGGGAAGUAAGUGGAGACACGUGCUUUGGCCUGUUGGAGGGGAAACCCGCUCUCGCCUCCUGGUGGUCGCCGACUCGCAGUCCGCAGGAUGACUCAGGGCAGCCCUGACCACAGUUCCGCCGCCAUCGGCCCUAGCCUGCGGAAUUGGGCUCGCCCCGGGACGAUAACAGAGCUCUGCCGGGGGCUGGAGGCACUGACCGGGUGACCAGAGACCCAGAGACCAGACCCCCUCCACGGCGCCCGGGAUUUCGGGGACGGCUUCUCCCAUCGCAAGUUUCAACAGAAAAUGAGAAAUAUCCCCCGACGAUUGGCUGAAAACAUGCAGCAACCACUAUUUUCUUCCUGCCCCUCGUUGAUGAGAGCAUUCGAAGUGACCUCAGCAGGGCAUCCAGACCCCAAGACAAUGAAGAGCCUUCAUUGGCUGGGCAUGGUGGCUUGCGCCUGUAAUCCCAGCACUUUAGGAGGCCGAGGCGGGUGGUCAGGAGUUCGAAAGCAGCCUGACCAACAUGGUGAAACCCCAUCUCUACUAAAAAUACAAAAUUCAACCAGGUGUCGUGGCAGGCACCUGUAAUCCCAGCUGCUCGGGAGGCUGAGGCAUGAGAAUCAGUUGAACCCAGGAGACAGAGGUUUCGGUGAGCCAAGGUCACACCACUGCACUCCAGCCUAGAAGACAGAGCAAGACUUUGUCUCAAAAAAAAAAAAUUAACUAAUUACUGAAAUAAAUAA
ensembl:lncRNA SNHG20 small nucleolar RNA host gene 20